GGGAAAGAUUUCCCCCUGACGAGGAGGGAGUACCCGGACCCGUUCUUUCCUUCCUGGACGUGCUAGGGUAAGGCGAGGGUGCUGGGGGCCUGCAGCUGGGCGAGAAAAGGGCCGAGUGCCAAGAGAAUUGUAGCGGCGCCUAUCCAGCCCCUGCUGUCAAACAGAAACAUCUAUGGUCCCGGUGAGGGUGCCACCCCUGGUCCACCAGACACAGACAUCAAAUAGCCUUACCUUGGUGAGAUUCAAGGCUGUCUGCUCCGAGAGGGACUUACUGGCAAACAGCCCAAGUAGAAGGACGUCAGCAAGGGGGGCCAAGGAAGAUGCAUCUGCUCACCAUGGGGCUUGCUGUGGAUGUCAUGAAGAGGCUCGGCAGCGUUGAAGACAAUAAAGCAUGCUUUCCUGGAAAAAACAAUGCUGGAUUAAGGACUAAAACAUGGUCACUUUUUUCACCACAAGGAAGACCUGUCCUUAUUAAAAAUGUACUGACUUCAGACACAUGGAGGAGAGUCUGAGAAUGUUUUGAGUAGGAAUGUUGCUGGGGAUAAAUUACGGGCUAAGAAAUCAGCUGACUGAGUCGACCGUAUGGAUUUUCCCAGGUCACAUUACUUUUCCAUUUGUAUUCUCAAUCGCUUUUGAACACCCUUCAUGCAAGUCAGCAUAUCAAAAGAUGAUUUUAUACAAGGAUUACCGAUUUCAAAUAAAUAAAGAACCAAAAGAAAUGGAUUUCAGUUGCAUCCAGACUGGUCGGAGGUAAAAUGAGAAGUGCUGCAACUCGCUGGGCCAGCAC